GUCGAGGGGUAACAUUGUAGCUUGCUACAGAUGACGACCGGCGCACGGGUGCGUAACGCGUAUAGAACCUACCUUUUACUGGAGAAUAGCCUUUAGAAAUGAAGAUUAAUGCUCCAUGGUAUUGAGACUUGGCAUCAAGUUUUAAUUAAAGAUUUAUUGGUAAAAGAUGGCUAUGCGUCCUAUUAGUUAGAUGGUAAGGUAACGGCUUACCAUGACAUCGAUAGGUAGGGGUCCUGAGAGGGAGAUCCCCCACACUGGUACUGAGACACGGACCAGACUCCUACGGGAGGCAGCAGUGAGGAAUAUUGGGCAAUGGAGGCAACUCUGACCCAGCCAUGCCGCGUGCAGGAAGACGGCCCUAUGGGUUGUAAACUGCUUUUAUACAGGAAGAAACACUGGUAUGUAUACCAGCUUGACGGUACUGUAAGAAUAAGGACCGGCUAACUCCGUGCCAGCAGCCGCGGUAAUACGGAGGGUCCGAGCGUUAUCCGGAAUCAUUGGGUUUAAAGGGUCCGCAGGCGGUCAAUUAAGUCAGAGGUGAAAUCCCAUAGCUCAACUAUGGAACUGCCUUUGAUACUGGUUGACUUGAGUCAUAUGGAAGUAGAUAGAAUGUGUAGUGUAGCGGUGAAAUGCAUAGAUAUUACACAGAAUACCGAUUGCGAAGGCAGUCUACUACGUAUGUACUGACGCUGAGGGACGAAAGCGUGGGGAGCGAACAGGAUUAGAUACCCUGGUAGUCCACGCCGUAAACGAUGGAUACUAGUUGUUUGGCAUUAGCUAAGUGACUAAGCGAAAGUGAUAA
rnacentral:rRNA from 1 species